CUGCAACAUUGACGGAACUUGAUAUUUAAGACAAACAGGCAACACAGAUGCAUCGCAAAUCAAAUGGAAUCGGUCCCUGUGCAUAGAAAUGUUUGCUCGGAAAGAUACACCUUCCUACGUCAAUCCCACUUGAUUGCGCCACUUGGAUUCCUCGGAACUUCCACCGAAUGAAUGAACUGGUGCUUCAAGUGCAGCGGAAUUAUCUGCCGCGGAAGCUGCUCUACGACCUUCCAUCUGGUCUCACAAGAGGACAUCUUCUUUGGCCCAAUGUGUAUAAUUAUU